AGGAGAGUGCUUCUGAGUCAGCCACAACCAAAGCUGUCAAAUGCUUCAACAUUUUCAAUCAUGAUAGCUGGCCAGAGAACAAAGAGGAUUUAGUGGACCAUGGUGCUGAUGACCUUGCUUUUCUCUUGGAUCACUUCUCCACAGUCCUGAGAAGAAAUGGUGUAAAUGCAGAGCUUGCAAAAGAAGAGUUUGUAAGUUUGAAGCUGUUAAUUGCCAAGAUGUUCAAAGACAAGACCUACCUCAGCCUUUGGGAGCUCAUGUUGACCAGAGAGCCGUACUGCUCAGAGUAGAAGAACAUCCUGCAUCUUGUACACAUUAUGCUGGUCCUACCUGUCUCAGCUGCGGUAUGUGAAAGAGGGUUCUCUGCACAGAAGAGAAUUAAAUCAGACACAAGAGCAUCCCUUCAUUCAGAGACAGUGGAUGACCUGAUAAGAAUCAGUGUGGAGGGGCCAAGUCUGGAAGAUUUUGAUGCUAGAGAGAGUGUGGCAAGCUGGUUCACCCAAGGUGAAAGAUCAAGAAGGCCAAAUUACAGGAGCUGGCCAUCUGAGGGGCAUGUGACUGCAAUGGAGGACAGUCCAUAAGAUAACAAGUUGUUCGGAUAUUGAAAUGUUCAGAUUGAAGCCUUUGACACUUUGAGUAACUUUUUAAUUUAGAUGUUUUUUUUAUUUAAUAUAUCUUGAGAUGUUUUAAAUUUCUUUAAUGUUGAAAUUUCAGCUCAGUGAAGAACUUUAAGCACAAGCAUGUUUAAGUAAUCUUUCUUGUAGAACUUUGCUACAAAUAAAGAGCUUUGUGUUGAAA